rnacentral:ncRNA from 2 species
AAUGCGAACUUGUUGUCAGGUGCCAUGUUUGUUUUCUUUCAAACAAGGUGAAACUGGGAAAUAGGUGCGUUAACGCUUUAAUUAUUUAAAGUAAGAAACAAACCCUAUGCUGCCCCCGCAACGGUAAGUGAGUGUAGUUUUGCAAUAUGUCACUGAGUCAAAGCCUUGAAUAAGGCAAGAUUUGGGAAGGCGCAAAACAUCUCCUCACAAGCCCGGAGACCGGCCUCGCAACAACGCCUUAU